UAAAAAUAAGGUUGUCAUUAAUUUUACGUUUGGGGAAAACGAAGAAUAAAACAACAGACACGUGUUAACAUCAGGAAAGCAAUAAUUGAGAUCUCACAAGUUUGAUUUAUAAAUUUAAAAUUGUGUUUAAUGUAAAACAAAAAAAAAAUUACCCGGAAUGCGUGUGGAACUAUAGAACUAUGAGAGGGAAAUCUUCUUCGAUGAAAAAGGUGAAAGAUGUUAUAUGGGAACCGCGCACGAAGUGCAAACGAAAGUGCACUUCAGAAAUUUCUAUUAUAUCAUUACUUUUUGUAAGGUUCAGCAAUGUAUUGUGGUUUUCAACGGAGGUCCCGUCAUCGUGGAAGUUUGUCAAUAUCGUGUAUAGAAUUUUGG